UACGUAGGGUGCGAGCGUUUGUCCGGAAUUAUUGGGCGUAAAGAGCGUGUAGGCGGCCAGGUAGGUCUGCUGUGAAAACUCGAGGCUCAACCUCGAGACGUCGGCGGAAACCAUCUGGCUAGAGUCCGGAAGAGGAGAGUGGAAUUCCUGGUGUAGCGGUGAAAUGCGCAGAUAUCAGGAAGAACACCCCGUGGCGGAAGGCGGCUCUCUGGG
rnacentral:rRNA from 1 species